GUGAGGAAUAUUGGUCAAUCUGCGAAAGCGGGAACCAGCAACGCCGCGUGAAGGAAGAAGGCCUUCGGGUUGUAAACUUCUUUAGGGGAAGACGAGAAAGGACGGUAUUCCCAAAAUAAGCAACGGCAAACUACGUGCCAGCAGCCGCGGUAAUACGUAGGUUGCGAGCGUUAUCCGGAUUUACUGGGCGUAAAGCGCUUGUAGGCGGUAAUAUAAGUUGGGCGUGAAACCUCUGAGCUUAACUCAGAGCAUGCGCACAAUACUGUAAUACUAGAGGGUGUCAGAGGAAAACGGAAUUCCCGGUGUAGUAGUGAAAUGCGUAGAGAUCGGGAGGAACAUCAGUGGCGAAGGCGGUUUUCUGGGGCAUUACUGACGCUGAGAAGCGACAGCUAGGGGAGCAAACAGGAUUAGAUACCCGUGUAGUCC
rnacentral:rRNA from 1 species